rnacentral:rRNA from 1 species
UCGCCUCUUGCUAAAUACACAUAAGAGGUCCCGCCUGCCCUGUGACCCCUGGUUUAACGGCCGCGGUAUUUUGACCGUGCAAAGGUAGCGCAAUCACUUGUCCCUUAAAUGAGGACCCGUAUGAAUGGCACAACGAGGGCUUAACUGUCUCCUUUCCCCGGUCAAUGAAAUUGAUCUUCCCGUGCAGAAGCGGGAAUUCUAACAUAAGACGAGAAGACCCUAUGGAGCUUUAGACUUUAGAACAGACCAUGUCAGCUACCCCCUUAAACAAGUAGUAAUUAUUGAACCCCUGUUCCCCUGUCUUUGGUUGGGGCGACCACGGGGAAGAAAAAAACCCCCACGUGGACUGGGAGCACCUUACUCCUACAACUACGAGCCACAGCUCUAAUGCGCAGAAUUUCUGACCAUGAGAUCCGGCAAAGCCGAUCAACGGACCGAGUUACCCUAGGGAUAACAGCGCAAUCCCCUUCAAGAGUCCAUAUCGACAAGGGGGUUUACGACCUCGAUGUUGGAUCAAGACAUCCUAAUGGUGCAGCCGCUAU